GGAGGAAUAUUGGUCAAUGGACGGAAGUCUGAACCAGCCAUGCCGCGUGAAGGAAUAAGGCCCUAUGGGUCGUAAACUUCUUUUGUGGUGGAGCAAUAAGAUCUACGCGUAGGUCGAUGAGAGUACAUCACGAAUAAGCAUCGGCUAACUCCGUGCCAGCAGCCGCGGUAAUACGGAGGAUGCAAGCGUUAUCCGGAAUUAUUGGGUUUAAAGGGUGCGUAGGCUGUUUUGCAAGUCAGGGGUGAAAGCCCGGAGCUCAACUCCGGAACUGCCUUUGAUACUGCGAGGCUGGAAUGCGCUUGAGGUAGGCGGAAUGCGUUGUGUAGCGGUGAAAUGCAUAGAUAUGACGCAGAACUCCGAUUGCGAAGGCAGCUUACCAAAUCGCUACUGACGCUGAGGCACGAAAGCGUGGGGAUCGAACAGGAUUAGAUACCCUGGUAGUCCCUAGACUGCCAAGGGCAC
rnacentral:rRNA from 1 species